rnacentral:rRNA from 1 species
UACGGAGGGAGCUAGCGUUGUUCGGAUAUACUGGGCGUAAAGCGCACGUAGGCGGCGCCGUAAGUCAGGGGUGAAAUCCCGGAGCUCAACUCCGGAACUGCCCUUGAAACUGCAGUGCUAGAAUCCUGGAGAGGCGAGUGGAAUUCCGAGUGUAGAGGUGAAAUUCGUAGAUAUUCGGAAGAACACCGGUGGCGAAGGCGGCAUCCUGGACCAACACUGACGCUGAGGAGCGAAAGCCAGGGGAGCAAACGGG